ACAUUUCCCUGGCAGGGGAGAUGCCGCGAUCACGAAGGCGGUUUUCCCAGGGCGAGGCUUAUCCACUGCACUCCGGUGUGCGGACCCCUGCGAUUUCCCCAGAUGUGGGAAACUCGACUGCAUAAUUUGGGAAAGUGGGGGACGGCGUUUUGCUAUCUCCCC